GUAACUUCCGGUGUGUUAGUCAAAUAAAUACAAGUCAUCUGCUUCUCAUUCCGAUCAUCAUGUCGGCUUUGUGGAUUCUCCUGGUUGUCAUAUCGGCGUCUCUGUGCCCUGGAGACUCCAUGUUCAUCAAAGACCCUCUGGCAUUCGUGAAUCACAAUACCCCGAAGGCCAUCUGCUCAGAGUGCAAGCAGAUCAUUCAGCGCUCUGCUAACAUGAUUCCCAGCGUGGACAGUAAGGGGCGCAUGUACGAAACCUUGCUCGCACUCUGCCAGCACCUCCCGGACAAACGGGCGUUGGAAUGUGACACUCAGUUGAAGAUGUAUUUGCCCAAAAUCCUGCUGCAACCACGUGGUGACGGGGAAGUGGAAGACACCUGUUCGGCUUUCGGGCUGUGCGCUGUCCUCCAGGAUGAGGAAGAGGUGGCACUUCCCCACCAGGACGCUGAGGAAGACGUGCCUGCGCUCACCAACACCCAUGAGCAGUUGAACCCGGCUUGUACCCUGUGCUUGUUUAUUAUCAAGAAACUGGAGACUCUGUUGCCCCAAAAUAUGACUGAGGACGCUUUGAUGAAGCUCAUGGGCGAGGUCUGCGAUCUCCUCCCUCAGAGCUACAAGGACGACUGCGACAACUUUGUCGACAAAUACGGCGUACAGAUAGUGGAGUUCCUGCUGUCUUCGGCCGCCCCUCACACCAUUUGCACGCUGCUGCACAUCUGUUUGUUCAAGGACUCUCCUGCUCCAGAGGCGCCCGUCCCGUCCGACUGCGAUUCCUGCCGUACGCUGGCCGCGCUGAGCCGACUUCGACUGGCCGUCAACGCCACUAAGCCUAAGACGUCGUCUUUCCUCGAGUCGGUGUGCGGUCAUCACCCCAAUGCCAUCCCAAAGUGUGAGGAGUUCACCAGAAUCUACGGCGCAAGACUGCAGCAGUUUUUGGGAAAGGAGGUGGACCAUAAAGACAUUUGUGAAAGAGCUGAUCUGUGCACUGCAAAGAAGUCCGAGCUGCUGGGAAGCAACCCCUGCACUUGGGGGCCAAGCUACUGGUGCAGAAACACAAACACGGCUCACAAGUGUGGUAAUGUUGCCUUCUGUGAGAAGCACAUGUGGAAGAAGUGAAUAGCUCAAUUCAACACAAGACACACGCAGACAGCUCACCUGGAUGUAGGCCUCUGAUAAAGUGAUCAUCUGAGGGAGGAUGUCGAUCACCUGCAGGUCCUGCAUCUCGUACCACUUUCCAGUUCCCUGAUUGGGCACAACAAGACCUUUUUUUCUGUACCACUGCUUGAAGAAGGUGUCCUCUAAAAACUGGCAGUGGUUAAUUUUAAGUCCUCCUCCUACCCCAAACAGUCAACAACCAGCUCAUCUGUGAUGAUACCAGGCCAGACCAGAAGCCCACCCAGUCGACUGUGUGUCUUGUUCAGUGGUGGUCGGAUUUCAGCCUUCCUUGCCUUGCAUAUGUCUCCGAGUACUCCAGGUAGGUUAC